rnacentral:rRNA from 1 species
CGUGAGGCAUGCUGGAGGUAUCAGAAGUGCGAAUGCUGACAUAAGUAACGAUAAAGCGGGUGAAAAGCCCGCUCGCCGGAAGACCAAGGGUUCCUGUCCAACGUUAAUCGGGGCAGGGUGAGUCGACCCCUAAGGCGAGGCCGAAAGGCGUAGUCGAUGGGAAACGGGUUAAUAUUCCCGUACUUGGUGUUACUGCGAAGGGGGGACGGAGAAGGCUAUGUUGGCCGGGCGACGGUUGUCCCGGUUUAAGCGUGUAGGUGUGUGUUCCAGGUAAAUCCGGUUCACUUUAACACUGAGGCGUGAUGACGAGGCACUACGGUGCUGAAGCAACAAAUGCCCUGCUUCCAGGAAAAGCCUCUAAGCAUCAGGUAACAUCAAAUCGUACCCCAAACCGACACAGGUGGUCAGGUAGAGAAUACCAAGGCGCUUGAGAGAACUCGGGUGAAGGAACUAGGCAAAAUGGUGCCGUAACUUCGGGAGAAGGCACGCUGACACGUAGGUGAAGUGAUUUACUCAUGGAGCUGAAGUCAGUCGAAGAUACCAGCUGGCUGCAACUGUUUAUUAAAAACACAGCACUGUGCAAACACGAAAGUGGACGUAUACGGUGUGACGCCUGCCCGGUGCCGGAAGGUUAAUUGAUGGGGUCAGCGCAAGCGAAGCUCCUGAUCGAAGCCCCGGUAAACGGCGGCCGUAACUAUAACGGUCCUAAGGUAGCGAAAUUCCUUGUCGGGUAAGUUCCGACCUGCACGAAUGGCGUAAUGAUGGCCAGGCUGUCUCCACCCGAGACUCAGUGAAAUUGAACUCGCUGUGAAGAUGCAGUGUACCCGCGGCAAGACGGAAAGACCCCGUGAACCUUUACUAUAGCUUGACACUGAACAUUGAGCCUUGAUGUGUAGGAUAGGUGGGAGGCUUUGAAGCGUGGACGCCAGUCUGCGUGGAGCCGACCUUGAAAUACCACCCUUUAAUGUUUGAUGUUCUAACGUGGACCCGUGAUCCGGGUUGCGGACAGUGUCUGGUGGGUAGUUUGACUGGGGCGGUCUCCUCCUAAAGAGUAACGGAGGAGCACGAAGGUUGGCUAAUCCUGGUCGGACAUCAGGAGGUUAGUGCAAUGGCAUAAGCCAGCUUGACUGCGAGCGUGACGGCGCGAGCAGGUGCGAAAGCAGGUCAUAGUGAUCCGGUGGUUCUGAAUGGAAGGGCCAUCGCUCAACGGAUAAAAGGUACUCCGGGGAUAACAGGCUGAUACCGCCCAAGAGUUCAUAUCGACGGCGGUGUUUGGCACCUCGAUGUCGGCUCAUCACAUCCUGGGGCUGAAGUAGGUCCCAAGGGUAUGGCUGUUCGCCAUUUAAAGUGGUACGCGAGCUGGGUUUAGAACGUCGUGAGACAGUUCGGUCCCUAUCUGCCGUGGGCGCUGGAGAACUGAGGGGGGCUGCUCCUAGUACGAGAGGACCGGAGUGGACGCAUCACUGGUGUUCGGGUUGUCAUGCCAAUGGCACUGCCCGGUAGCUAAAUGCGGAAGAGAUAAGUGCUGAAAGCAUCUAAGCACGAAACUUGCCCCGAGAUGAGUUCUCCCUGAGACUUAGAGUCUCCUGAAGGAACGUUGAAGACGACGACGUUGAUAGGCCGGGUGUGUAAGCGCAGCGAUGCGUUGAGCUAACCGGUACUAAUGAACCGUGAGGCUUAACCUUACAACGCCGAAGCUGUU